GGCGACCAUCGGGGCGUUGCGGCCGGCGCCGAACCCGUCGGCGACGAGGUCGGCCGAGGUGCGGGCGCUGGUGCCGACCUCGGCGGUCGCGUC
rnacentral:tRNA from 1 species